rnacentral:rRNA from 1 species
UACGGAGGGUGCGAGCGUUGUCCGGAAUCAUUGGGCGUAAAGGGCGCGUAGGCGGCCACUUCAAGCGUGCGGUGAAAGUCGGGGGCUCAACCCCUGAUCGGCCGUGCGAACUGGGGGGCUGGAGCACUGUAGAGGCAGGCGGAAUUCCGGGUGUAGCGGUGGAAUGCGUAGAGAUCCGGAAGAACACCGGUGGCGAAGGCGGCCUGCUGGGCAGUUGGCUGACGCUGAGGCGCGACAGCGUGGGGAGCAA